rnacentral:rRNA from 1 species
UGGGGAAUCUUAGACAAUGGGGGAAACCCUGAUCUAGCCAUGCCGCGUGAGCGAUGAAGGGCCUUAGGGUUGUAAAGCUCUUUCAGCUGGGAAGAUAAUGACGGUACCAGCAGAAGAAGCCCCCGGGCUAACUCCGUGCCAGCAGCCGCGGUAAUACGGAGGGGGCCUAGCGUUGUUCGGAAUUACUGGGCGUAAAGCGCACGUAGGCGGAUUUAGUCAGUCAGAGGUGAAAUCCCCAGGGCUCAACCCUGGAACUGCCUUUGAUACUGCUAGUCUUGAGGUCGAGAGAGGUGAGUGGAAUUUCCCGAGUGUAGAGGUGAAAUUCGUAGAUAUUCGGAGGAACACCAGUGGCGAAGGCGGCUCACUGGCUCGAUACUG